rnacentral:rRNA from 1 species
UACGUAGGGUGCGAGCGUUGUCCGGAAUUAUUGGGCGUAAAGGGUGCGUAGGUGGGCAGGUAAGUCAGUGGUGAAAUCUCCGGGCUUAACCCGGAAACUGCCAUUGAUACUAUUUGUCUUGAAUACUGUGGAGGUCAGCGGAAUAUGUCAUGUAGCGGUGAAAUGCUUAGAUAUGACAUAGAACACCAAUUGCGAAGGCAGCUGGCUACACAAAUAUUGACACUGAGGCACGAAAGCGUGGGGAUCAAACAGG